CCUACGGGAGGCAGCAGUGGGGGAUAUUGCACAAUGGGGGAAACCCUGAUGCAGCGACGCCGCGUGGGUGAAGAAGCGCCUCGGCGCGUAAAGCCCUGUCAGCAGGGGAGAAAAUGACGGUACCUGAAGAAGAAGCCCCGUCUAACUACGUGCCAGCAGGCGCGGUAAUACGUAGGGGGCAAGCGUUAUCCGGAUUUACUGGGUGUAAAGGGAGCGUAGACGGCAGCGCAAGUCUGGAGUGAAAUGCCGGGGCCCAACCCCGGAACUGCCUUGGAAACUGUGCGGCUGGAGUGCAGGAGAGGUAAGCGGAAUUCGUGGUGUAGCGGUGAAAUGCGUAGAUAUUAGGAGGAACACCAGUGGCGAAGGCGGCUUACUGGACUGUAACUGACGUUGAGGCUCGAAAGCGUGGGGAGCAAACAGGAUUAGAUACCCGGGUAGUC
rnacentral:rRNA from 1 species